CCUACGGGAGGCUGCAGUGAGGAAUAUUGGUCAAUGGCCGGAAGGCUGAACCAGCCAUGCCGCGUGAAGGUCAGUGCCCUAUGGGCGUUAAACUUCUUUUGUGCGGGAGCAAUAAUGGUCACGUGUGGCCAGACGAGAGUACCGUACGAAUAAGCAUCGGCUAACUCCGUGCCAGCAGCCGCGGUAAUACGGGGGAUGCAAGCGUUAUCCGGAUUUAUUGGGUUUAAAGGGUGCGUAGGCUGUGAGGUAAGUCAGCGGUGAAAUGCCCCCGCUCAACGGGGUGAAGUGCCAUUGAUACUGCCUUGCUGGAAUGCGGAUGCCGUGGGAGGAAUGUGUGGUGUAGCGGUGAAAUGCAUAGAUAUCACACAGAACUCCGAUUGCGAAGGCAACAUACCGGCGGCGAUCUGACGCUGAGGCACGAAAGCGUGGGUAUCGAACAGGAUUAGAUACCCGGGUAGUC
rnacentral:rRNA from 1 species